rnacentral:sRNA from 1 species
GUCGUAUCGGUUCGAUAGGGAUACUCAUCAAAUAAUCGGAACUCGGAGACCGUUUCUCUUGCCUAUGGCGGGCCACAGGGAUGCAAGUCCCAGCUGAACAGCCGGUGGAUUACAAAAGCGGAGAGCACUCUAAAUACUAAACUCGGAGUUUUCAUCACAUCACUGGUGCGGCCCUUU